AUCUACCUCUGUUCUUUGAUAAAUUUUUAUCUCCUAUUAUAGAAGUAGAUCCUGAAUCAGAAGAGAAAAUCCUCUCUCUCCACUCUGAUCCACUGGUUCAGGAAUUAGCAUCACAAAGCUGCUUCCUACUUAGACUAUAUUGCCUCUCAAAGAUGGUUGCCAUGGAGAGGUGCAUGAUGGUUGUAAGCAGGCUGCAAUACAUUACAAAAAAAGAAUUGCAAAGAAGCAGCAGCAUAAAGGAUUUUAUCAGAGAGA